rnacentral:rRNA from 1 species
GACGAACGCUGGCGGCGUGCUUAACACAUGCAAGUCGAACGGAAAGGCCCUGCUGUUGUGGGGUGCUCGAGUGGCGAACGGGUGAGUAACACGUGAGUAACCUGCCCUUGACUUUGGGAUAACUUCAGGAAACUGGGGCUAAUACCGGAUAGGAGCUCCUGCUGCAUGGUGGGGGUUGGAAAGUUUCGGCGGUUGGGGAUGGACUCGCGGCUUAUCAGCUUGUUGGUGGGGUAGUGGCUUACCAAGGCUUUGACGGGUAGCCGGCCUGAGAGGGUGACCGGCCACAUUGGGACUGAGAUACGGCCCAGACUCCUACGGGAGGCAGCAGUGGGAAAUAUUGCACAAUGGGCGGAAGCCUGAUGCAGCAACGCCGCGUGCGGGAUGACGGCCUUCGGGUUGUAAACCGCUUUCGCCUGUGACGAAGCGUGAGUGACGGUAAUUGGUAAAGAAGCACCGGCUAACUACGUG